AUAUUUAAUUGUUGCCUUCUUUGGACAGGCACCUCACCACUGCAGCCCUGGCAUCCCCCAAUGCUAUUGGAACGGUGCUGGCAGCACUAGCUCUGACCCGGACACCCGGCCUUGGCUGGGGAAUGGAGUCUCCUCUCUCUGCCCCAUGCCAGAGGAUGUGUCCCAUAGCAGCCAGAGCCUGCCCAGAGCGUGGCACCGCGCUGCUCAGCCAGCAAGGUGCAGCCCAGGAAGCCUGGGAAUCAGCAGCUUGCAUCAAUGCUUGCAUCUCCUGGUGGCCUGCAGACAGAGAAUGGCUCCAAGCAGGAAGGUCGCGAACAGAAAAGCAUCUUUGAAGGCAAAGAAGGCUUCACCCCUCUUCAAAUCAAGGCAACAUCUACAGUGAAAAACCUACGCCACAGCUGUCAGGGCUUCUCUCCAGCAGAUAAUUAAAUUCCAACUUGAUUGCCAUUGUGACAAGUGAGCUCAAGUUUGGUGGUACCAUGCCCGCCAGCCGAACACAGAUGAGAGCCAUCAGCUGCACAGUCAUUAAUGGCUGUGCUGGAAGCAGAGGUGCUGCAAUACUUCAUGGCACUCCCCAGGAGGUGGUCAGCCUCCCAGAGACUGACAAUAGCAGGAGCACAUCUCGAGCUGUGACUGCAUUUCAAUCCGCAU
rnacentral:lncRNA from 1 species